AGAUGCGAGAGUAGAGCAUAUCAAUAAGCGGAGGAAAAGAAACUAACAAGGAUUCCCCUAGUAACGGCGAGUGAAGCGGGAAGAGCUCAAAUUUGAAAUCUUAAAGGGUUUUCCCUUGACGAAUUGUAGUUUAAAGAAGUGUUUUCUGUUGGAGUUUUCGGUAAAAGUUCUUUGGAAUAGGACAUCAUAGAGGGUGAGAAUCCCGUAUUUGACCAUUACUUUCCAGCUGUGUGAUACACUUUCAAAGAGUCGGAUUGUUUGGGAAUGCAGUCCAAAAUGGGUGGUAAAUUUCAUCUAAAGCUAAAUAUUGGCGAGAGACCGAUAGCGAACAAGUACCGUGAGGGAAAGAUGAAAAGAACUUUGAAAAGAGAGUUAAACAGUACGUGAAAUUGUCAAAAGGGAAGCGUUUGACACCAGUGUUGUUUUUUCCGAAAAUCAAUUACGAAUGUUUUGUUUUUAAGAAGUUAUGACUUCAUCGGCUUGCUCCUUUCUUUAUGAAACUUUCUUAAUGCACUUUUCGGUUAACAAGUCAACAUCAAUUUCUUUUGUUGUAAAAGGGUAUGAGGAAGGUGGCUUUCUUUUCGGAGAAAGUGUUUAUAGCCUUGUGCCUCUGCAAUCGGAGAGAUUGAGGUCUGCAGCGUAGAUCCUUCGGGGUUAGAUACGUUUGUGCUAAGUUAUAGCUUUUCAUAGACAACUUGUUGACUAUGUUUAGUCUUGUAGCUUACUCGCUUACGCUAUUUUACCUACGCUUAGGAUGUUGACGAGACUGUCGAUCUC
rnacentral:rRNA from 1 species